UAAUAAUAUGCUGAAGGCUAGCUGUAUUGGGUACAGAUGAUAAUAUGGGUAAUAAUAUGUUGAAGGCUAGCUGUAUUGGGUACAGAUGAUAAUAUGUAGGCUAUAAUAAUAUGCUGAAGGCUAGCUGUAUUGGGUACAGAUGAUAAUAUGUAGGGGUAAUAAUAUGUUGAAGGCUAGCUGUAUUGGGUACAGAUGAUAAUAUGUAGGGGUAAUAAUAUGCUGAAGGCUAGCUGUAUUGGGUACAGAUGAUAAUAUGUAGGGGUAAUAAUAUGCUGAAGGCUAGCUGUAUUGGGUACAGAUGAUAAUAUGUAGACUAUAAUAAUAUGCUGAAGGCUAGCUGUAUUGGGUACAGAUGAUAAUAUGUAGGGGUAAUAAUAUGCUGAAGGCUAGCUGUAUUGGGUACAGAUGAUAA
rnacentral:lncRNA from 1 species